GUGACUCGCCCUUACAAGCAAGUCCCUCUGGUAAGCUCCUCAGGGCAUGUAUUCUCUGAAGGCCAAAAUACUUCUUGCACUGGAGCAUAAGGCCGGAAAUGAGCCAUCCACUCACUCUGAUGGAAGAUGAUGAGAACUGUUCAGAAGUUGAAGUCUGAGACAAAUGCAAAGGGACAGAGCCAAGACAGGAACAUCCAGCAACUAACAGCCUGAAAGUCUAGAGGGAAGGAUCUCAUCAGAGAUAUGAGUAGACCUCAGAGAAGCAAGCUUCCUUUGCAGCAAACUUUCCUCUGCCCCACCUGCUUUGACUUGGCAAUGACAAUCCCGGAGGUGACUGUGAAGAAAAGCAAGAACCCAGUUUAAAGGGACAGUCUUGGAAUGAGUAAAAUGGGAGGAGGACUGGAGACACGCCAGCCUUCUGUCAAACGGAAGAAGGAGGAACCUCAACAAUUGUUGAGAGAGCUAGUUAUUCCUCCUCUGGCUUUGAGACCAGAGUGAAGGGAGACUGACUUCGGCUCAGGAAAUCAAAGAGCAGAAGACGUGUUGAAGAGCUGGUUUGACAGCUCUGAGGUUAUCUCUCAAGAUCUCUCAAGGCCAUUUCUGCACUUAUAUCUUUCCCACGGGCCCAUCAGACUUAGAGUUGGCUUGGAAAUGGGGAUCACGACUACCUUGGUGGAAGUCAGAAGAAAAUGAAAAUGUUGCUGCGGUUGAGGUUGAAGAGGUUAUGGCUAAAAUCAACAAGUCAGGAAAUGACAGAUGCUGGCGAGGAUGCGGAGAAAGGGGAACCCUCCUCCACUGUUGGUGGGAAUGCAAGCUGGUGCAACCACUCUGGAAAACAGCAUGGAGGUUCCUCAAAAUGUUGAAAAUAGAACUGCCCUAUGACCCAGCAAUUGCACUACUGGGUAUUUACCCUAAAAAUACAAACGUAGUGAUCCAAAGGGGCACGUGCACCCGAAUGUUCAUAGCAGCAAUGUCCACAAUAGCCAAACUAUGGAAAGAACCUAGAUGUCCAUCAACAGAUAAAUGGAUCAAGAAGAUGUGGUAUAUAUACACAAUGGAAUACUAUGCAGCCAUCAAAAGAAAUGAAAUCUUGCCAUUUGCAACAACAUGCAUGGAACUAGCUAAGCAUAGCAUGCUUAGUGAAAUAAGUCAAGCAGAGAAAGACAACUAUCAUAUGAUCUCCCUGAUAUGAGGAAGCGGUGAUGCAACAUGGGGGCUUAAGUGGGUAGAAGAAGAAUCAAUGAAACAGGAUGGGAUUGGGAGGGAGACAAACCAUAAGUGACUCUUAA